rnacentral:rRNA from 1 species
UACAUGCAAGUCGAACGAACUCUGGUAUUGAUUGGUGCUUGCAUCAUGAUUUACAUUUGAGUGAGUGGCGAACUGGUGAGUAACACGUGGGAAACCUGCCCAGAAGCGGGGGAUAACACCUGGAAACAGAUGCUAAUACCGCAUAACAACUUGGACCGCAUGGUCCGAGUUUGAAAGAUGGCUUCGGCUAUCACUUUUGGAUGGUCCCGCGGCGUAUUAGCUAGAUGGUGGGGUAACGGCUCACCAUGGCAAUGAUACGUAGCCGACCUGAGAGGGUAAUCGGCCACAUUGGGACUGAGACACGGCCCAAACUCCUACGGGAGGCAGCAGUAGGGAAUCUUCCACAAUGGACGAAAGUCUGAUGGAGCAACGCCGCGUGAGUGAAGAAGGGUUUCGGCUCGUAAAACUCUGUUGUUAAAGAAGAACAUAUCUGAGAGUAACUGUUCAGGUAUUGACGGUAUUUAACCAGAAAGCCACGGCUAACUACGUGCCAGCAGCCGCGGUAAUACGUAGGUGGCAAGCGUUGUCCGGAUUUAUUGGGCGUAAAGCGAGCGCAGGCGGUUUUUUAAGUCUGAUGUGAAAGCCUUCGGCUCAACCGAAGAAGUGCAUCGGAAACUGGGAAACUUGAGUGCAGAAGAGGACAGUGGAACUCCAUGUGUAGCGGUGAAAUGCGUAGAUAUAUGGAAGAACACCAGUGGCGAAGGCGGCUGUCUGGUCUGUAACUGACGCUGAGGCUCGAAAGUAUGGGUAGCAAACAGGAUUAGAUACCCUGGUAGUCCAUACCGUAAACGAUGAAUGCUAAGUGUUGGAGGGUUUCCGCCCUUCAGUGCUGCAGCUAACGCAUUAAGCAUUCCGCCUGGGGAGUACGGCCGCAAGGCUGAAACUCAAAGGAAUUGACGGGGGCCCGCACAAGCGGUGGAGCAUGUGGUUUAAUUCGAAGCUACGCGAAGAACCUUACCAGGUCUUGACAUACUAUGCAAAUCUAAGAGAUUAGACGUUCCCUUCGGGGACAUGGAUACAGGUGGUGCAUGGUUGUCGUCAGCUCGUGUCGUGAGAUGUUGGGUUAAGUCCCGCAACGAGCGCAACCCUUAUUAUCAGUUGCCAGCAUUAAGUUGGGCACUCUGGUGAGACUGCCGGUGACAAACCGGAGGAAGGUGGGGAUGACGUCAAAUCAUCAUGCCCCUUAUGACCUGGGCUACACACGUGCUACAAUGGAUGGUACAACGAGUUGCGAACUCGCGAGAGUAAGCUAAUCUCUUAAAGCCAUUCUCAGUUCGGAUUGUAGGCUGCAACUCGCCUACAUGAAGUCGGAAUCGCUAGUAAUCGCGGAUCAGCAUGCCGCGGUGAAUACGUUCCCGGGCCUUGUACACACCGCCCGUCACACCAUGAGAGUUUGUAACACCCAAAGUCGGUGGGGUAACCUUUUAGGAACCAG